GAUGAACGCUAGCUACAGGCUUAACACAUGCAAGUCGAGGGGUAACGAGAGGGAAGCUUGCUUUCCUUGUCGACGACCGGCGCACGGGUGAGUAACGCGUAUCCAACCUGCCCCCAACUAGGGAAUAACCUUGCGAAAGUAAGACUAAUACCCUAUAAUUUCCUCAGAUGACAUCUGACGAGGAAUAAAGAUUUAUCGGUUGUGGAUGGGGAUGCGUCUGAUUAGCUUGUUGGCGGGGUAACGGCCCACCAAGGCAACGAUCAGUAGGGGUUCUGAGAGGAAGGUCACCCACAGUGGAACUGAGACACGGUCCAAACUCCUACGGGAGGCAGCAGUGAGGAAUAUUGGUCAAUGGGCGGAAGCCUGAACCAGCCAAGUAGCGUGCAGGAUGACGGCCCUAUGGGUUGUAAACUGCUUUUAUACAGGAAUAAAGUUAGCCACGUGUGGUUAUUUGUAGGUACUGUAUGAAUAAGGACCGGCUAAUUCCGUGCCAGCAGCCGCCGUAA
rnacentral:rRNA from 1 species